rnacentral:SRP_RNA from 15 species
UUCUUGCUGGAGGCCUUCUGCUGCAGGCCCUGCAGGAACUUGAGGCGCUGGCUCUUCUCCAGGGAGUACUUCUUGACGCAGGCCACGAUGAGCGUCAGGCCCAGCAGGAAGACGCGGUAGGAGUUCUCGACCCAGCCGAAGAC